AGGACGAACGCUGGCGGCGUGCUUAACACAUGCAAGUCGAGCGGAAAGGCCCUUCGGGGUACUCGAGCGGCGAACGGGUGAGUAACACGUGAGCAACCUGCCCUUAGCUCCGGGAUAGCUCCGGGAAACCGGAAUUAAUACCGGAUAUGACCUGGGCCGACAUCGGCUGUGGUGGAAAGUUUUUCGGCUGGGGAUGGACUCGCGGCCUAUCAGCUUGUUGGUGGGGUAAUGGCCUACCAAGGCGACGAC
rnacentral:rRNA from 1 species